rnacentral:rRNA from 1 species
UAGGGAAUAUUGGGCAAUGGUCGGAAGACUGACCCAGCCAUGCCGCGUGCAGGAAGAAGGCCCUCUGGGUUGUAAACUGCUUUUAUCUGGGAAGAAAAAGGCCAUGCGUGGCAAAUUGCCGGUACCAGAUGAAUAAGCACCGGCUAACUCCGUGCCAGCAGCCGCGGUAAUACGGAGGGUGCAAGCGUUGUCCGGAUUUAUUGGGUUUAAAGGGUGCGUAGGCGGCUAUUUAAGUCAGCGGUGAAAGACUUCAGCUUAACUGGAGCAGUGCCAUUGAUACUGGAUAGCUUGAGUGUUGGAGGGGUACAUGGAAUUGAUGGUGUAGCGGUGAAAUGCAUAGAUACCAUCAGGAACACCGAUAGCGAAGGCAUUGUACUGGCCAACA